GCCCCUUUAGCUCAAUAGGUAGAGCAGCCGACUUUUAAUCGGCGGGUUCCUGGUUCGAGUCCAGGGAGGGGCA
rnacentral:tRNA from 1 species